rnacentral:lncRNA from 1 species
UGGCGGCGCGGAGAGGGGGCGGUCCCGGCGCGUGCGCGCGCGGGGCGAGCGCGAGUCCCUGGCGACCGCGCGGGCCCGGCGGAGAGCGGGACACGGGGACAGCGGGACACGGGGACAGCGGGACACUGGGACACACGGACACACAGACACACGGCUCGGCACGGCCCGGCCCGGCCCGGCCGCCGCCAUGGAGCACGGCCAGCAGCAGCAGGAGCAGGAGGAGCAGGAGCAGCGGGCUCAGGAGCCAUGGUUCUGGCUGGCAGCAGAGCAGGGGAGCAGCUGCUCCUGGGACACCAAGCUGGGCCUGAGCUGUGCCCGGAGGGCCCUGUCGGAGCUGCCCACGCUGGAGGAAGGGCUGCUGCCCUCAGCAGAGGCCUCUGGAGCUGCAGUCCCUGCCUCCCCCCUGGGUAUGUGCAGCCACAGGCUGAGGAUUGCACUGGGCAGUCAGGCCCAGCCUGCCCUGGACCUUACUUCAGGGAGAAAUGAGCUUUGCGAGGGGACUUGGGGUGAUGUUGGUGUCAAAGCCCCCCUCAGGCAGGGUUUGAGUGCCUUCCCUGGAUCUUCUGCCAUGAGCAGGUUCCUUCUGUGCCAGGUUAAGCUUUGUUUUGUUUUCCUGUGAAUUCAGAGUGAACCUGAGUGCAGCUUGCACCCCUGGCAGUGCCCAAGGCCAGGCUGGGGAGGGGAAGGUGUCCAUGGCAGGGGGAGCAAUGACAUAUCUUUGUAACAUCUUUAAAAUCCCUUCCACCUGAGCCAUUCCUCAUUGAUGCCCUUGGCUUUGGGUGCAGUUUCUGCUGCUGCUGAGAUUUCCAGUCCCAACACUCACUCCAGCCAAGGUCCCUGCCCCACUGCUCCUUCUCACACCCCGUCCCAGCAGGUCAAUCAAAGAAGGCUUGAGAAACUCCAGCAUUUCAAAUUUCACCUUUGUGCGUCCUUGGUUCCAUUCAUCUCCAUGUGGAGCCAGAGCAUCCUGGUCCAGCACAACCUGAAAAUGCAGUUUCUCAGCCCAGUGUGGUUCUUUUUGCACGGAUCCCUCUGCAGGACCAGCAGUUCCCCUGCCCAGGAGGAUAUUCCUCCUGUG